rnacentral:rRNA from 1 species
CAAAAACAUCGCCUCUUGAUUAACCAUAAGAGGUCAAGCCUGCCCAGUGACAUUGUUCAACGGCCGCGGUAUCCUAACCGUGCGAAGGUAGCGUAAUCACUUGUCCUUUAAAUAAGGACUAGUAUGAACGGCUUCACGAAGGCUAUACUGUCUCCUUAAUCUAAUCAGUUAAACUAAUCUCCCCGUGAAGAAGCGGGGAUUCAUUUAUAAGACGAGAAGACCCUAUGGAGCUUUAAACAUCUAAGACACUUGAUUACACCCACUAAACUUCAUGUAACCUAUCAUUUUGUCUUAAGUUUUAGGUUGGGGUGACCACGGAGAAAAAUUGAACCUCCACGUAGAAAGAAAAUUCUUUUCUAAGCAAAAAGCCACAUCUUAACGCAUCAAUAUAUUGACUUAAAUUGACCCAAUUUCUUGCUCAACGAACCAAGUUAC